GAUGAACGCUGGCGGCGUGCUUAACACAUGCAAGUCGAACGGUGAAGGCGGAGCUUGCUCUGCUGGAUCAGUGGCGAACGGGUGAGUAACACGUGAGCAAUCUGCCCCUGACUCUGGGAUAAGCGCUGGAAACGGCGUCUAAUACUGGAUACGAGCUGCGAAGGCAUCUUCAGCAGCUGGAAAGAAUUUCGGUCAGGGACGAGCUCGCGGCCUAUCAGCUUGUUGGUGAGGUAAUGGCUCACCAAGGCGUCGACGGGUAGCCGGCCUGAGAGGGUGACCGGCCACACUGGGACUGAGACACGGCCCAGACUCCUACGGGAGGCAGCAGUGGGGAAUAUUGCACAAUGGGCGAAAGCCUGAUGCAGCAACGCCGCGUGAGGGACGACGGCCUUCGGGUUGUAAACCUCUUUUAGCAGGGAAGAAGCGAAAGUGACGGUACCUGCAGAAAAAGCGCCGGCUAACUACGUG
rnacentral:rRNA from 1 species